rnacentral:lncRNA from 1 species
AAAAAUCGAAGAUCAAAAAAAUCCAUCAGUAGAAGCUACCUAGCCACAUAAAAAAACAAAAAAAUUCAAUCAAUCAAAAAAGGGGGAGCCAAAAAUCGAAUCGGGGUUUCAACGAGGGAUUCGGUUCGGCUUGAGAGAGAGAGAUCGGUGACCGGUGAAGGGAAGGUUGGAUCUGUGGAGCGUCGGCCACCGGCAGGGGAAGGCCUAAACCCGGCUAGGUCACCGUCGACCGAACCAGGGAGUGCCAGAUCCGUCGAUCGGAAGGGGAGAAGACUUCGAGGGAGAGAGGGAGGAAUGUCUGGGCCGCCGGCUAGAGAGAUGCCAA